AAGCUGCUUCCUCAAUCUAGAAACCUUUCAAGAGUUUUGUACUUAAAUUGAUAAAUAUCAAAAUUACCGGGGUGAUUCUGUAAAUAUAUUAACGACUUCAGAAGCUCCAGCUCUCUCUCUCACAUUCACUGAACAAAACGAUGGCCUCGGCGAUUGUUCCGUCGCUCAGGCUGAGUCCCAGUUUAUCCGACGCCACGUCACCAUCGUCUCCCUCUUCCUCCGGCGACGUCAUUAAACCCUUGUUUUUUUUUUUUUUUAUCAUUGGAUCAAAUUCUGAGACUAUUUUAGGAUUUAGGGGCAAUUCAGGAGACUACAGGAAGCUGGAGGUAACUUUGGAUGAGUACGAUGUUACUGCAGCUGUUGGUUUUGAAAUGCAGCCGGUUUGGUUGAUCCAGUCUACUGGCGUGGCACUCACUCUACGCCCUCGUCUUGUUCUUGAUUGAGUUACCGUCAAAAGGAUUGUCUUUGAUUGGACACUCAGUCUCAGCUGGAGGAUGGCUUGCUCGAGUUUACCUGGACGAGUACGGAAACGCUGAUAUCUCCUUUGUUGUUCACACUGGGUACGCCUCACUUGUAGACCACCACCCAGAGGGCUAUCAUGGGUUGAUCAAACAAGAGGUCUUCUCCAUUACGUCGAAGAGCACUGUGCAAAAACUGUUUACACUCCUUGAGCUGUAUUGCCGGGAGUCUAUAGGUAGAUACAUUCGUGGAGCUCCUUUAGUGGACAAGGCAGAUGCAAAUCUUGAUUCUGAUGAAUCGAUCUCAGCGCUUACUAUAGCAUUGGUUUCUUCAGGGCCUAGUUUGCGUGCUCGUUUUGUAGGGCAAGGAUAUAAGCAUGUUUGUGGAAGAGCUGACAUGUGGUACCUGAGGUUUCAGCUCAUCUUGAAGGUGCACUUAAUCUUAGCUUCAACGGUGUUUACCACUCGCCUGUUGGUUCAGAGUUCAGACGAAGAAACCAGACCUUGGUAUAUGGUUCACCGGUUAUUUUAAGAGACUGGAUUCACCACCUCCUUGAGUGACUAUUAAAAGUAUUCAUCUGAACUUCCCUCAAGAUUUUUGUUAUCUCCCAUUGUUUCUAUCUCUUCACCCUCAAUUCAAACUCUGUUUACACUUUAAGAUCAAAUUCUAUCAGAUGCCAUUAAGUAUGUAAAGAUAUAUGAUUUUGAAGUUGGAAACCAUUUUCGUAAAAGUAUCUUUCAAGGUUCCA